rnacentral:rRNA from 1 species
CAUCUACCUUUAUCCUUGGAAGCUCAGGCAGAAGCCCGUUUACUUAUGUUUUCUCAUAUGAAUCUCUUAUCUCCCGCUAUUGGGGAUCCUAUUUGCGUACCAACCCAAGACAUGCUUAUCGGGCUUCCAAAAAAAAUUUAA